AGAGGGUGGGAGUGUGGAUAAAACUAAUUGUACAUAAUAAGAAAGUAGGAUUUUGUAGUGGAAUAUAGAUGAGUAUUUUUUCAAACUAUAGGUUGGUAUUAUACUGAAUAAAUAAAAUCUUAACGGGAUUCAUGAAGUAAAUUAUUUUUUUAACUAAAUUCAACAAUACUAUAAAACGUUGCUUGUGAGCAGAGAUUUUGGUUUAUGAUAAUGACUUAAUUGUGAAUUUAUGUAGUGGACCUUUGUGUAAUAUACCUUUUAUUAAAUAUUACUCAAUUUAUCAAAUUUGAUUUUAGAAAUAUUCCCAAAAUUGCCUAUACACAACCCCUUAAAUAAUAAGCGUGUAACGACAUC